CCCAGAGUUGAGAACUGUCAAGGAUCAUCACGGCAAUGAGAGCGAGGCUCCGAGGGCGGCGGAGAAAUGACAGCAGGGCCCUGAGGGAUUACAGAACUUCUGGGAGUGAGAGGAGUGGACUAGAGAAGCGGUAGACUUGCAGUCAAUGGAAGGACCUCAGCUUAGUUUGAAGACUGGAGAUGCUGUGGAACCAAGCUGUCUCCUUGAGUGGUUUUGCUUCUUUGCUGUUGUCUGUUGGCUUUUUUUAAUCUCUGUGCUCAGCAACCCAGGUGCAGACAUGGAGAACAUGUGUCUUUGGGUUUAUUUAGUGUUGGGAGUUUGAGAGAGAGAUGAGGCAAAACAUUGAGAGGGAACUGGGAUAGACUUUAUAAACAGUGGUUAUUUAACUGAUGGAUUCUGGAAUCUGAAGAUGAGAAGGGAAGAGUGCAGUGGAGAUGCCUAUAAGGUUAAAGUAAGAAUAGUUUUACAAGCACGAUGGAAGGAAAUAGAGUUUUGUUUAGAGAAGGAGAUGACUGACUUAGGGACUUUGGAAUGUUGAGUAUAUAGUCUGCCACAUAACCAAGUGCAAAGAAUGAAUUUGGAUGGAUUAAAGAGGGUCAUUUGGAGAUGAAAAGGCUAGGGAAGGGAGCCGAAAUGUUCAGUCAUUCAUCCUUGUGGAAUUUGAGGUAAUGGGAGUUGCUGCUGGAAUUUGACAGAGUUUAGGUUGUAGCCAAAGAGAAUGGGUUGGAAUAUUUAAUGACUGAAAAUUCAUGAGACAGACUAGUUAAUGACUAAAGAGUGAAAAAUUGGAGGUCAACAGACAAUAGUAUUUAGAGAAUGGUAUAUUCAGAGCAGAAACCCCAAAGGGAGCAUUUAAAUUUUAACAGGAGGAGCAAUAAGAGGCUGCAGGGCAUGAUACAGACAGCACCCCACUUCUUAAUAUAGAGGUAAAACAGGUGAGAGAAAACAAUUAUCCACCACUUAAGCUAAGUAUAUAAAUGAGUGUAUAAAUAAUCAUGAAAUAAACUAAAUCCAUGGUAACCUGAAUUUAAAAUGCAUUUUAGAGUGAGCAUUAUAUACAUGCACCACAUACCAUAUAUAUCAUGGACACGUAUAUGUCUACACACAGACAUAUACCCAUAUAUAGUAGGAUUCGAGUUCCAGAAGGCAUAACAGAAUGGUUUGAAAAUGGGAGACUGAGCAAGGAGUAAGGGAUUGAACCAGUCAUAUGAUGAUGGUACAGUGAAGGACCGACAGGCAUAAGGGCUUAUAUUAGGCAAGAUAGGUUUGGACUCAGAGGUCACUUUCAAAAAGGUAGGUAUAAAAUGGGUAAAGUAAUUAACCAAUUAAUCACCUAUCCUAUAUCAAAACUAUGCCCAGACCUAGAAAUUCUAAAACAAACACAAAAACUUCUACCUGUGUCAUCAUUUUUUUCCCCUGAUUUCAACUCCACUACCCACCCACCCAAGCCUUUACCCAGGUUUGUUCUCUGCCUGGAACUUGCCAGACUCCUAACUCAACCCUCUCCCUGGUUUUAGUUUUCCAGGAAGGCUUAAUCAGUCUCUCCCUUGCAUCUUGUGCGUAUGUCUAUUCAAAUUGCUUUGACAAAUGUUUGCUGAAUUUAUUUCUCCCCUUAACAAUUUUCUCUUCUCAACAACUAACUUGUUGAACGAUGAUGUCUGUAGCAGAAGAUGCUUAAUAAAGGCUUACCAAACUGAAGGGGACUUCACGUACCUGCUCUCGCCUGAGCACAUUGCUUGCAACCAAACUCACUGGCCCAUGGACCUCAAGCAUUCCUUUUUCUCUAGAAAUGAGAACACUUAGGGAUCCGCAGAAAACACAGAAGGUUGUUGCUCAUCUUCUGAAAGCCCUACCCUAGUUGCACUUCUUUCAAGACCACUUCUUUGAAGAAGUAUUGAGUCAGGAAAUGCACACUACAAAACAAAGGACAAAAGCAAACUACCGACCGAUUACAACAAAUACCCGUUGAUAUAGUUCCCCCAAUUUAACCCAACUCUGAAAAUCUGCCAUAAAACUCAUCAAUGGAAUGAUUACUUCAGAAUAUUUCUAUGUUCAUUUAUAAAAGAAGUAAUCAUACAAGUUGUCUGGGUCAUCUACCGGCUUUGAGGAUCAGCUACUUUAAUGAAAAUACUUCUCUGUGCCUCAUAAUAAUAUUUUUACAUCUAGAGAAUAGGAACAUCAAAAGAAUUCAGUUUUCCAAGGCUUUCUCCCCCACUCUUAUGUCAUGGAAGCCCAGUAGAGGCUUCCAAUCCCAUUCUGAAGAUAAGAAAGCUUAUGAAAAGUGAAGGGAUUUUUGCCCAGAGUAACUCAUUUUAAUUAGGAACAGAGGUCAGGAACACAAAUAUGCUAGUGGAUUAUUCCAUUGGACUCAUAGUUAUAUUAAUUCAGUAGUUAAUUCCAAUAUCCCUGUGCUAGCUAGUAAAUAGAAACUAAUGAUGUACUGUUAAUCCUGAUGUAUGAAGGAAUAAAAUGCUAUGUGGGAAUCUUUCAGGUGCUUAUAAUACCUGACAUCCAUACAAAGCUUUUCCAUAUGCACAAGAUUUUCACAGCCAUCAUUUAAUUUUAUUCUCAGAACAGGGCAUUUGACAGCUGUGAGAAAACUACUGCGAAGAAAGAAGUGAAGAAACCGGUCCAUGUUUACGAAACUGGUCGUUGUCAGGGGUGGGAUUCGAGCCCGGGUCUUUUAACUUAUAUUCAAAUAUUCUCCUUUCAGGGAACUCUUAAAAAGAUAAGUUUUAUCUCUACAAGUACUAAAUAAGUUAUGCAGUUGUUUCACAAACAUUUUUAAACAUUGAUUAUGU